rnacentral:rRNA from 1 species
GAUGAACGCUGACAGAAUGCUUAACACAUGCAAGUCAACUUGAAUUUGGGCUUUUAACUUAGAUUUGGGUGGCGGACGGGUGAGUAACGCGUAAAGAACUUGCCUCACAGCUAGGGACAACAUUUAGAAAUGAAUGCUAAUACCUGAUAUUAUGAUUUUAAGGCAUCUUAGAAUUAUGAAAGCUAUAAGCACUGUGAGAGAGCUUUGCGUCCCAUUAGCUAGUUGGAGAGGUAACAGCUCACCAAGGCGAUGAUGGGUAGCCGGCCUGAGAGGGUGAACGGCCACAAGGGGACUGAGACACGGCCCUUACUCCUACGGGAGGCAGCAGUGGGGAAUAUUGGACAAUGGACCAAGAGUCUGAUCCAGCAAUUCUGUGUGCACGAUGAAGUUUUUCGGAAUGUAAAGUGCUUUCAGUUGGGAAGAAAGAAAUGACGGUACCAACAGAAGAAGUGACGGCUAAAUACGUGCCAGCAGCCGCGGUAAUACGUAUGUCACGAGCGUUAUCCGGAUUUAUUGGGCGUAAAGCGCGUCUAGGUGGUUAUGUAAGUCUGAUGUGAAAAUGCAGGGCUCAACUCUGUAUUGCGUUGGAAACUGUAUAACUAGAGUACUGGAGAGGUAAGCGGAACUACAAGUGUAGAGGUGAAAUUCGUAGAUAUUUGUAGGAAUGCCGAUGGGGAAGCCAGCUUACUGGACAGAUACUGACGCUAAAGCGCGAAAGCGUGGGUAGCAAACAGG